UGUGCGUCUGGUUUAUGGUUCCUUUACAACACCUCAGACUCCAAUGUGCACUCCUCAUUUCUUUCAAAAGAUGUACUACUCUGAAUCCUGCUACUUUGUUACCAAUUACAGAUUCAGAAAAGGGGGAGGGUAUCACAGGUAGCCUUUUGUCUGAUUUAGCUG